rnacentral:rRNA from 1 species
GAUGAACGCUAGCGGCAGGCUUAAUACAUGCAAGUCGAGGGACAGCACAGGUAGCAAUACUGGGUGGUAACCGGCAAACGGGUGCGGAACACGUACACAACCUUCCUUUAAGUGGGGGAUAGCCCAGAGAAAUUUGGAUUAAUACCCCGUAAUAUAGUUAAAUGGCCUCAUUGGAUUAUUAUAGCUACGGCGCUUAAUGAUGGGUGUGCGGCUGAUUAGAUAGUUGGCGGGAUAACGGCCAAACAAGUCUACGAUCAGUAGCUGAUGUGAGAGCAUGAUCAGCCACACGGGCACUGAGACACGGGCCCGACUCCUACGGGAGGCAGCAGUAAGGAAUAUUGGUCAAUGGACGCAAGUCUGAACCAGCCAUGCCGCGUGAAGGAUUAAGGUCCUCUGGAUUGUAAACUUCUUUUAUUUGGGACGAAAAAGGGCCUUUCUAGGUCAACUGACGGUACCAGAUGAAUAAGCACCGGCUAACUCCGUGCCAGCCGCCGCGGUAAUAC